GCUUUCCUGUGGCUCAGUUGGUAGAGCCUUACGCGAACAGCGCAAAGAUCAUGGGUUCAUAUCCCAGGGAAAGCA